AGUGACUUGCUUUCACUUGGAAUUUGUGCUGUGGAUCACAGCCUGCUUCCAGUGAAGUGUCCCUGUGUUCCUGAGAGAAAAAGAAAAAGGAAGAUUUGAUUCAGUAGCAGAGCGAAGCAUGUGUUCAAUUACAAAAGCAGUAUAAUCUCUGCCGGCAUUCCAGGCUCCACUCUACCCUUGUGAGGCCCCAUCUGGAGUACCGCAUCCAUGUCCCCAGUGCAAGAAAGCUGUAGAGCUGUUGGAGCAGGUCCAAGAGAGAGCCAAGAAGAUGAUCAAAGGGCUGGAGCACCUCUUCUGUGAAGAAAGGUUGAGGGAGCUGGGCUUGUUCAGCCUGGAGAAGAAAAGAUUCUGGG
rnacentral:lncRNA from 1 species